AUGAACGCUGGCGGCGUGCUUAACACAUGCAAGUCGCACGGAAAGGCUCCUGCUUGCCGGGGUACUCGAGUGGCGAACGGGUGAGUAACACGUGGGUGAUCUGCCCUGCACUUCGGGAUAAGCCUGGGAAACUGGGUCUAAUACCGGAUAGGACCACAUUUUGGAUGGUGUGGUGGAAAGUUUUUCGGUGUGGGAUGAGCUCGCGGCCUAUCAGCUUGUUGGUGGGGUAAUGGCCUACCAAGGCGUCGACGGGUAGCCGGCCUGAGAGGGUGUACGGCCACAUUGGGACUGAGAUACGGCCCAGACUCCUACGGGAGGCAGCAGUGGGGAAUAUUGCACAAUGGGCGCAAGCCUGAUGCAGCGACGCCGCGUGGGGGAUGACGGCCUUCGGGUUGUAAACUCCUUUCGCUAGGGACGAAGCGCAAGUGACGGUACCUGGAGAAGAAGCACCGGCUAACUACGUG
rnacentral:rRNA from 1 species